ACCUUUAGCUCAGUCGGUCAGAGCAUCCGGCUCAUAACCGGUCGGUCCGGGGUUCGAGUCCCUGAAGGUC
rnacentral:tRNA from 2 species